UACGGAGGGUGCGAGCGUUGUCCGGAAUCACUGGGCGUAAAGCGCGUGUAGGCGGCUCGAUAAGUCUGCUGUGAAAGUCCAGGGCUCAACCCUGGGAUGCCGGUGGAUACUGUCGAGCUCGAGUCCGGAAGAGGCGAGUGGAAUUCCUGGUGUAGCGGUGAAAUGCGCAGAUAUCAGGAGGAACACCAAUGGCGAAGGCAGCUCGCUGGGACGUGACUGACGCUGAGACGCGAAAGCGUGGGGAGCAAACGGG
rnacentral:rRNA from 1 species